GAUGAACGCUAGCUACAGGCUUAACACAUGCAAGUCGAGGGGAAACGAUAUUGGAAGCUUGCUUCUGAUAGGCGUCGACCGGCGCACGGGUGAGUAACGCGUAUCCAACCUGCCCAUCACUUGGGGAUAACCUUGCGAAAGUAAGACUAAUACCCAAUGACGUCUCUAGAAGACAUCUGAAAGAGAUUAAAGAUUUAUCGGUGAUGGAUGGGGAUGCGUCUGAUUAGCUUGUUGGCGGGGUAACGGCCCGCCAAGGCGACGAUCAGUAGGGGUUCUGAGAGGAAGGUCCCCCACAUUGGAACUGAGACACGGUCCAAACUCCUACGGGAGGCAGCAGUGAGGAAUAUUGGUCAAUGGACGAGAGUCUGAACCAGCCAAGUAGCGUGCAGGAUGACGGCCCUAUGGGUUGUAAACUGCUUUUAUAAGGGAAUAAAGUGGGAGUCGUGACUCUUUUUGCAUGUACCUUAUGAAUAAGGACCGGCUAAUUCCGUGCCAGCAGCCG
rnacentral:rRNA from 1 species